GUGAUUUUCAAAUGAUAAACUCAAGUUUUUAAUGCAGAGAGCCCUUAAAGCUUCACUUUUAUUGACAACAGCUGGUUUGUGCUUCUCAUUACAAGUUUGGGAAGAUGGCUGGUGCAUGUUGUGCUCCCUAAUGCACAGUAUAAGUGACCCAAAGUAAUGUGUGAACCGAUACGCUCAGAGAUGCUGAAAACACUGGAUCAUGAGCUGCUUGUGUGUAAAAGAAUACAGUGAUGUGCUUCACUCUGAAACACACAGCACAUAAAUUUAACUAAAUCACAGCCUUUGAAAUUUGAUAAUCUAUUUUAUUUUGAUGAAUCGUGCAGCCAUAGUACUAGUCCAACUCCUGGGACUGCUGCAUCAGAAACAAGGCCUAACCAUGGUUUCCCUGAUAUAGCUAAAAGUUGCAACCGGCUCCAAACUGAAGUAUAUACAAACUGAAAGUGCAGCAGUCUUGGCGAGAGCUUCCUGUCAUCAGUAUUCCUCCUGUGGGGCUUCCUAGCCGCAGUUCCAUGGUUAUGCUGCAGUUAAGCACUCUCUCGCGCUGUCUGUCGCUCUCUCAUUCUCCCUCUCUUUGUGACUGUCGGUUUAGGGGGUGGGAGAGAAGGAAGUGACCUACAUAGCACCGUUCCCUCGCCUCGGCUGUCUUUUGCAUUUCAAGGGAUAAUGAAUAAUUUACAGCUCCUCUCCCUCCCGUGAAAACGUGACAGCCUUCAAUACAAUUAACGAAUUUAACAAGCCCCGGUGACAAUCAGUGCACUGCCACUCAAAGGACCCGGAUAGAGGCUUGGAUCCAAGAGCCCGAGGCACAUCACUGGAAAAAGAGAGAGAGAGAGAGAAAAAUAACAGUGCCACAGCAGAGCGCAGUGUUAUCCAACGCGAGCUCUGCUUUGCUGCAGGCGGCUCCAUCCCAAACCUCAGCCCUAUCUUGAACAAACAUCACACAGCCGAGAUGAAAAAGAGGGAAAUCGAUGCAGGGGAGAGCGCGCCGUGUAGAGAGCCUGGCUUUGCUUUGAUCGAAGGUUGACUGACAAGACCU
rnacentral:lncRNA from 1 species